rnacentral:rRNA from 1 species
AGUGAACGCUGGCGGUAGGCCUAACACAUGCAAGUCGAACGGCAGCACAGUAAGAGCUUGCUCUUACGGGUGGCGAGUGGCGGACGGGUGAGGAAUACAUCGGAAUCUACUUUUUCGUGGGGGAUAACGUAGGGAAACUUACGCUAAUACCGCAUACGACCUACGGGUGAAAGCAGGGGAUCUUCGGACCUUGCGCGAUUGAAUGAGCCGAUGUCGGAUUAGCUAGUUGGCGGGGUAAAGGCCCACCAAGGCGACGAUCCGUAGCUGGUCUGAGAGGAUGACAGGCAAAGUGGGACAGGGAAAAGGGCCAGGCUCCAAAGGGGAGGAGGCAGGGGGAAAUAUGGACAAAGGGGGGCAGGCUUAAUCAAGCAAUGCGGGGGGGGGAAAGAAGGCUUGGGGGUGGAAAGGCCUUUUUGUGGGAAAAGAAAAGAAGAAGGUUAAUACCCGGUGGUUCGGAGGGUACCAAAAGAAAAAGCCCCGGCAAAUUCCGUG